rnacentral:rRNA from 1 species
CCUACGGGAGGCAGCAGUAAGGAAUAUUGGUCAAUGGAGGCAACUCUGAACCAGCCAUGCCGCGUGCAGGAUGAAGGCCCUAUGGGUCGUAAACUGCUUUUACACAAGAGAAAACCCGAGUACGUGUACUCGGUUGAUAGUAUUGUGAGAAUAAGCAUCGGCUAACUUCGUGCCAGCAGCCGCGGUAAGACGAAGGAUGCAAGCGUUAUCCGGAUUCAUUGGGUUUAAAGGGUGCGUAGGCGGACCUGUAAGUCAGUGGUGAAAUCUCUUUGCUUAACAAAGAAACUGCCAUUGAUACUGCAAGUCUAGAGUAUAGAUGACGUUGGCGGAAUAUGACAUGUAGUGGUGAAAUACUUAGAUAUGUCAUAGAACACCGAUUGCGAAGGCAGCUAACGAAACUAUAACUGACGCUGAGGCACGAAAGUGCGGGGAUCAAACAGGAUUAGAUACCCUGGUAGUCCGCACCGUAAACGAUGAUUACUCGUUGUUGGCAAUAUGACCGUCAGCGACCAAGCGAAAGCGAUAAGUAAUCCACCUGGGGAGUUAGCCGGCAACGGUGAAACUUCAAGGAUUGACGGCNGAGAGNGCGAGCGACGACGAGGAGGAGG